GACGAACCGAGCGAACGUUGUUCGGAAUCACUGGGCAUAAAGGGCGCGUAGGCGGGGAUCUAAGUCCGUGGUGAAAUACCUUGGCUCAACCAAGGAACUGCCUCGGAUACUGGGUCUCUCGAGGAAGAUAGGGGCUUGCGGAACGGCUGGUGGAGCGGUGAAAUGCGUUGAUAUCAGUCGGAACUCCGGUGGCGAAGGCGGCAAGCUGGAUCUUUUCUGACGCUGAGGCGCGAAAGCCAGGGGAGCGAACGGG
rnacentral:rRNA from 2 species